rnacentral:piRNA from 1 species
GGGGCGUAUCACCAUCUGAGUCUGGCUGC